GCGCGCCACUAUCGACGAAAGCUGGUCGGCAGUCUACCUUGGGGUAUACCCGCGGUAGUAGUUUAUCGGUAGACGGUGCGCAAACUACGAACUCGAUGGUGACGCAAGACACGGACAAGCUUUUUAUCCAGGUUCGGCCGCCGAGUUGGCGUAAUACCUACGUCCUGCGUCUGGUUGUAUUGAUUUGUGCUGAGAGAAUAUGAUGUGAUGUGUCCUCUAGGGGACCCCUGCCCCUCCUUAUAUAUCCUGAAGGGACAGAGUUACAAGCAAAGUAUCCUAUUUGGUACAAAAUCUUGUAGCCUUGCGGUGCACGCCGACCAGUCGUGCGCCGCACGUCUUCAUCUUGUGGGCCGAGCCACCUCUGAUGGUGCGGCCCAUAUAGGCCCAUGAGGGUAUAGGGGUUUAUACCCCCACAGGGGUCGGCAACAACUCUAAGUCGCGAGAGACCGAGAGACGUGGGCGUGGGUGCGGCGUCGUGGGAGCGGGGCGCCGGUUGCGGCUUCCUGUGCGUGAGAGCAGGAGGGAACGGUUAGGGGAGGGAGAAGGAGCUGAUGGGUGGGCCCUACUCGUCAGUGGGAGAGAGAGGGAGUUAGGGUGCUGGCAGGCCCCUGGAAUUGGGCCAAGCAGGCCGAAAGUGAGGGGGAAGGGAGAGAGAUGGAUUUCCCUUUUUUUUAUUUUUUUUCAACUUGUUUUCAAAAGUAUUUACAAAUUUGAAUUUUGAACAAAAUUUUAUUUUGCAUAAAUUCACACAUCAUAAAAAUUAAGUGUUGCAGCAUGAAUGCAUCAACGUGUUUCUAAUUUCCUAUUAAAUUUUAAUUUUCCAAAGUUUAUUUAUUUUCCUAUAUUUUUAUGCUCACAAAAUUAUUUAAUAAAGUCAAAUUCAUCUAUUUUUAAAAAAGCCAAAUUUUGGGUGUUACAAAUCUUUUAAUCGUAGUUAGUUUAUAAUUGGACAAUAUUUACCACAAACAAACAAAAGUGCUACAAUAGUAAAAUCCAAAAUCUUUUCGCAUCUAAACAAGGCCUAACUCGUUUUUUUAAUAUGUAUUGAAAGGGUUGAGGCAUGGUUAGGAGGAAAGAAAAAUGAUUAAAAAAUGUAUAAAAGCUAUAGGAUGACUUACAUUUUCUUUGAAGGUCAACGACUUUACAUUUGGAGAGUAGUAGAGAAAGCACGCUAAAAACCAUCUACGUGUCGAAUCGGAGAGGUGCGAAGUCAAGUCAGCUAUGUUUUGACUUCAUUUAGGUCUUGUUUAAUUGGAUGGACUAGGCUAGGUAGCUAAAAAUUAGCUUGUGCUGUUUGGAUAUCAAGGAUUAAUGGGUAGUACUGCCCCCCCCUCCCCCCUCCACGUACACAUACACACGUAAAAAUGUUUAUGCCCCUUGGCCACUAGCAGUACAGGCAAAAUAAGUAAGGGCAUUUUGGCACGUAUUCGAUCUACUCCAAUAUCCAUUGUAGCGACUUGUAAUUUGUAGGAUAAAAUAAAAUGACUUAAACAUGUGGGUUUGAUCUAAAAUAGAUAACAAAAUAUAUUUUUUAUAUGAAGCUAGAAUAGAUUUUUUUAUAUGAUAUCCAAAAACAAAUUCCUCUCCAACUAAAUAAGAGCAUCCCAACCAUUUGACAAAUAGGCUUUGCAUUUAUGUAUUUGCAAAAAAAAAAAAAUCUAAAAAAUGUCUAUCCAACAGUUUGGCAAUGGACUUUGCAAUUUUGUUAACUUAGCAAAUAGAGGGGAAAGACUCCCAUAUAUGCCAAGCCCCUUCGCGUUUUGGCAUCGCGUCCCUCACGCGAAAUCUGUCGCCUCCGCACGUGGUCGCGCGACUACUCCUUUCUCUUGCCGCCAGAUUUUCUCGUGAUUAAUGCCA
rnacentral:lncRNA from 1 species